rnacentral:rRNA from 1 species
UGGGGAAUUUUGGACAAUGGGGGCAACCCUGAUCCAGCAAUGCCGCGUGUGUGAAGAAGGCCUUCGGGUUGUAAAGCACUUUUGUCCGGGAAGAAAUCCCCUGCCCUAAUACGGCGGGGGGAUGACGGUACCGGAAGAAUAAGCACCGGCUAACUACGUGCCAGCAGCCGCGGUAAUACGUAGGGUGCGAGCGUUAAUCGGAAUUACUGGGCGUAAAGCGUGCGCAGGCGGUGAUGUAAGACCGAUGUGAAAUCCCCGGGCUCAACCUGGGAACUGCAUUGGUGACUGCAUUGCUCGAGUAUGGCAGAGGGGGGUGGAAUUCCACGUGUAGCAGUGAAAUGCGUAGAGAUGUGGAGGAAUACCGAUGGCGAAGGCAGCCCCCUGGGCCAAUACUGACGCUCAUGCACGAAAGCGUGGGGAGCAAACAGGAUUCAGAUACCCUGGUAGUCCACGCCCUAAACGAUGUCAACUAGUUGUUGGGGAUUCAUUUCCUUAGUAACGUAGCUAACGCGUGAAGUUGACCGCCU